GGACCACACAAAACAAAUGACCCAACGAAUGAAUGAAGCGCAUCGUGAAAACUUCAUAGAAACACCUAAUGUUUCCCACCCAAAUCCCAUAACAUUACACAUCACACUCACUUCAUUGGUGUGGAACCUGUUCUUAUCUCAUCCCCCUUGCCACCCACUCUUUUGUUUCUACUUCCGUUUCCAUUCUCUUCAAUUUCACACACCAACCAAAACAAAAACAUUCACCAAAGUCCAAACUCUUUCAACUCAAAUCAACAGAUCCACACUACAUAUAUAG